UCAAAAAGGCCUUGAUGGGACCUGGUGGACCUGGACCAGGGUGGGCUCCCCUACCUGGAGGUCCUCCAGGUUUGACACCUGGACCAACAGGCUGCUGUGGCCUUCUCUCCUCAUGCUUCUACUUCCUCUGCUGCUGCUGGUUACUGGAAGACUGCUGUGGGCCCUUCUUUGGAGGUCCCCUGGGCCCUCCUCCUGGUCCACCAUAGAUGACAAGUGUGAGAAUUCUCUCUUCAACUGGCUUGUCAUUUUUCUUAUGUAUCAAUUCAUAUGCUCUUUCAGAGACCUGAUGAUCUUUUCAUGAGGUAAAUAAUAUGAUAAAAUCCAACACCUUGAGUUGUUGACGGGAACCAAGUCUUCUGGAAAUUACAAUUUGUUCAUCUGGAUAUUAUCCAAGCAAAGGUUUGUCAUGA